rnacentral:rRNA from 1 species
GACGAACGCUGGCGGCGUGCUUAACACAUGCAAGUCGAACGAUGAAGCUGGAGCUUGCUCCGGUGGAUUAGUGGCGAACGGGUGAGUAACACGUGAGCAAUCUGCCCUUGACUCUGGGAUAACUGCGGGAAACUGUAGCUAAUACCGGAUAUUUUCCCUGGUGGGCAUCCACUGGGGAAGAAAGAAUUUCGGUCAAGGAUGAGCUCGCGGCCUAUCAGCUAGUUGGUGAGGUAAUGGCUCACCAAGGCGACGACGGGUAGCCGGCCUGAGAGGGUGACCGGCCACACCGGAACUGAGACACGGUCCAGACUCCUACGGGAGGCAGCAGUGGGGAAUAUUGCACAAUGGACGAAAGUCUGAUGCAGCAACGCCGCGUGAGGGAUGAAGGCCUGGUUGUAACCUACUUUUAGUCAGGGAAGAAGCGAAAGUAGACGGUAACCUGCAGAAAAGACA